rnacentral:rRNA from 1 species
CGCACAAGCGGUGGAGCAUGUGGUUUAAUUCGAUGCAACGCGAAGAACCUUACCUACUCUUGACAUCCAGAGAACUUAGCAGAGAUGCUUUGGUGCCUUCGGGAACUCUGAGACAGGUGCUGCAUGGCUGUCGUCAGCUCGUGUUGUGAAAUGUUGGGUUAAGUCCCGCAACGAGCGCAACCCUUAUCCUUUGUUGCCAGCGGUUAGGCCGGGAACUCAAAGGAGACUGCCAGUGAUAAACUGGAGGAAGGUGGGGAUGACGUCAAGUCAUCAUGGCCCUUACGAGUAGGGCUACACACGUGCUACAAUGGCGCAUACAAAGAGAAGCGACCUCGCGAGAGCAAGCGGACCUCAUAAAGUGCGUCGUAGUCCGGAUUGGAGUCUGCAACUCGACUCCAUGAAGUCGGAAUCGCUAGUAAUCGUGGAUCAGAAUGCCACGGUGAAUACGUUCCCGGGCCUUGUACACACCGCCCGUCACACCAUGGGAGUGGGUUGCAAAAGAAGUAGGUAGCUUAACCUUCGGGAGGGCGCUUACCACUUUGUGAUUCAUGACUGGGGUGAAGUCGUAACAAGGUAACCGUAGGGGAACCUGCGGUUGGAUCACCUCCUUA